UCCGUGGCUCAGAUUGAACGCUGGCGGCAUGCCUUACACAUGCAAGUCGAACGGCAGCGGACCUUCGGGUGCCGGCGAGUGGCGAACGGGUGAGUAAUAUAUCGGAACGUACCUUCAGGUGGGGGAUAACGUAGCGAAAGUUACGCUAAUACCGCAUAUUCUGUGAGCAGGAAAGCAGGGGGAUCGCAAGACCUUGCGCUGAUUGAGCGGCCGAUAUCAGAUUAGCUAGUUGGUGAGGUAAAGGCUCACCAAGGCGACGAUCUGUAGCGGGUCUGAGAGGAUGAUCCGCCACACUGGAACUGAGACACGGUCCAGACUCCUACGGGAGGCAGCAGUGGGGAAUUUUGGACAAUGGGCGCAAGCCUGAUCCAGCCAUGCCGCGUGAGUGAAGAAGGCCUUCGGGUUGUAAAGCUCUUUCGGCCGGGAAGAAAUCGCACAGGUUAAUACCCUGUGUGGAUGACGGUACCGGAAUAAGAAGCACCGGCUAACUACGUG
rnacentral:rRNA from 1 species